CAAUAGCGUAUAUUAAAGUUGUUGCGGUUAAAAAGCUCGUAGUUGGAUUUCUGCCGAGGACGACCGGUCCGCCCUCCGGGUGAGUAUCUGGCUCGGCCUGGGCAUCUUCUUGGAGAACGUAGCUGCACUUGGCUGUGUGGUGCGGUAUUCAGGACUUUUACUUUGAGGAAAUUAGAGUGUUUCAAGCAGGCACACGCCUUGAAUACAUUAGCAUGGAAUAAUAAGAUAGGACCUCGGUUCUAUUUUGUUGGUUUCUAGAUCUGAGGUAAUGAUUAAUAGGGAUAGUUGGGGGCAUUCGUAUUUAACUGUCAGAGGUGAAACUCUUGGAUUUGUUAAAGACGGACUACUGCGAAAGCAUUUGCCAAGGAUGUUUUCAUUGA
rnacentral:rRNA from 1 species